UACAGAGGUCCCGAGCGUUGUUCGGAUUCACUGGGCGUAAAGGGUGCGUAGGCGGCUGGGUAAGUCUGAUGUGAAAUCUCCGGGCCCAACCCGGAAAUGGCAUUAGAAACUACCUGGCUGGAGGCUUGGAGGGGGAACUGGAAUUCUCGGUGUAGCAGUGAAAUGCGUAGAUAUCUGGAGGAACACCGGUGGCGAAGGCGGCAUCCUGGACCGACACUGACGCUGAGGCACGAAGGCCAGGGGAGCAAACGGGG
rnacentral:rRNA from 1 species